UUUGUGAUUCAGCUAAUAUGGGAAGGACUUGGGCUUGGAGGCGUUGAUGCUGUGGGGAACUGGAACAGUGAAACUAGAAAGAGGAAGGUUCUUUUAGGGAUUGGAGGUGGACACAUGGAUGUAGUUUUGUAAGUUGUCAAGAAUUCUUGAGUAUGUUCAAUUGGUACAACUAAUUAAGUUUAUGAAUUACGAUAAGAUGUGUCUAAGCCUCAUAAAUGCCCUGAAGAGAAGUGGGAAGAUGCAGAGAAAAAUAGCAAUGUGUGUGAGGUAAACCAAGAUGUUGAAGUAUCUUCAAGACACGAAGUGGCUACAUUAGAGAAUGUCUUGAAGAAAUUUGUAACUUAACAACAGCAACAAUAGCGAUAGAGGAGAAGGGGAAAAGAAGCUUAGACACCACAGCUCUCAAAACAGAGCUUGAAGAAACAGAGGAUCCAGAAAAAGCAGAGAAGAAGUUUUCCUCUGUUUCUACAAAAACCUCUCAAGGCCUAUUUAGAGAGACGAGUUUCUCAGCAGCAGAGCCAGUUUCAGGUCAUAUAACAUACUCAGGACCAAUUGUAUUCUCUGGAAGCCUAUCAGUUCGUUCUGAUGCAAGCACAACGAGUGGAAGAUCAUUUGCUUUUCCAGUAUUGCAGUCAGAAUGGAACAGUAGUAGUCCUGUAAGAAUGGCGAAAGCGAACAAGAAAAGACAAAAAGGAUGGGGAGACAUUCUUAUGUGUUGUAGAUUCUCUUGAUCAAAAAAAGCUUUUCACUUUGAAGCACAGAGGAA